GGAAUGGGGUUUGGGAAUGGCCCGAAUCUGGGGCUUUUUUGGGGGGGAUUUUCCUGAUUUUCCAUCCCAAAAAGGCCUAAAUUUUGGGAGGAGAUCCCAAAAAGGUCUCAGGGUUGGGGAUUCCUUGGAGGGAUCAAAAUUCCCUUGGAUUCCGGGAGCUUUGGGAUACCCCUGGAUCAUCCCAGUCCCCUCCGAGCAUUUCCCAGUGACAAAAACUGGGAAUAAAACCCCAGAAUUCCCUCUGGAUCAUCCCAGUUCCCUCCAGCCCCUCCAAAAUCCAGGAUCAAAACCCUGGAAUUCCCAAUCCCUGCCAUUCCCAGGAUCUCCCAGUGACAAAAACUGGGAAUAAAAACCCCCAGAAUUCCCUCUGGGUCUUCCCAAACCCUUCCAACAUCUCCAAAAAUCAGGAAUAAAACUCAGGAAUUCCCUCUGGAUCAUCCCAAACCCUUCCAGCGUUUCCCAGGGACAAAAACUGGGAAUAAAACCUGGGAAUUCCCUCUGGAUUUCCCAAUCCCCUCCAGCACCUCCAGGAUCACAAUUCUGGGAUAAAACCCCAAAAUUCCCAAUCCCUGUUCCCCUAAAAAUAUCCCCAAAUCCUCCAGGAGCUCUCCCUGCCCUGGAGGGGGUCUGGAUCCCAUUCCUGAUUCCAAAUCCCAAAUCCUCAAACCAAAUCCCAAAUCCUGAUGCCAAUCCUGAUCCCAAAUCUCAAAUCCCAACCCCAAAUCCCAAAUCCACAUCCCAAAUCCCAAAUCUCAAAUCCCAACUCCAAAUCCCCAUCCCAAAUCCCAAAUCCCAAAUCCCAAAUCCCAAUCCCAAAUCCCAUCCCCGCGGGAUCACGGGCCGCAGGGCGGGCACUGCACCCCGCGGUUCACGGGCGCCCCCAAUCCCAAUCCCAAAUCCCAAUCCCAUCCCUGCGGGAUCACGGGCCGCAGGGCGGGCACUGCACCCCGCGGUUCACAGGCGCCCCCAAUCCCAAAUCCCAAAUCCCCAUCCCAAUCCCAUCCCCGCGGGAUCACGGGCCGCAGGGCGGG
rnacentral:lncRNA from 1 species